UGCCCGUAUUCAUUUAAAAAACAUAAUAUUGCUCUUUGAAAUUGCCCGAUAGUUACGGAAAGAAGAUGGAUAAUUAUAUUAUUGUUCACCUGCAUACACGACCAAUUAAAAGUUUUCACAACAGUCUUAAUAUCAUUGAUAUUUCUUUAUAUGUAUUUUGUACAUAUGUACAUUGUUGUGUCGUACGUUUUAUCGGUACAUAGUAUUAAAAACGGUGAUAUAAAAUAUUGUUAUCGAUGCCCAUGUAU